rnacentral:rRNA from 1 species
CUACGUGCCAGCAGCCGCGGUAAUACGUAGGUGGCGAGCGUUGUCCGGAAUUAUUGGGCGUAAAGGGAGCGCAGGCGGACAUAUAAGUCCAUCUUAAAAGUGCGGGGCUCAACCCCGUGAGGGGAKGGAAACUGUAUGCCUUGAGUGCAGGAGAGGAAAGCGGAAUUCCCAGUGUAGCGGUGAAAUGCGUAGAUAUUGGGAGGAACACCAGUGGCGAAGGCGGCUUUCUGGACUGUAACUGACGCUGAGGCUCGAAAGCCAGGGGAGCGAACGGGAUUAGAUACCCCGGUAGUCCUGGCCGUAAACGAUGAAUGCUAGGUGUAGGAGGUAUCGACCCCUCCUGUGCCGGAGUUAACGCAAUAAGCAUUCCGCCUGGGGAGUACGGUCGCAAGACUGAAACUCAAAGGAAUUGACGGGGGCCCGCACAAGCGGUGGAGUAUGUGGUUUAAUUCGACGCAACGCGAAGAACCUUACCAGGGCUUGACAU